rnacentral:rRNA from 1 species
UUAUCCGGAAUCAUUGGGCGUAAAGCGCCUGUAGGUUGUUUAAUAAGUCUGUUGUUAAAGACUAGGGCUCAACCCUAGAAAAGCAAUGGAAACUACUAGACUAGAGUAUGGCAGGGGUAGAGGGAAUUUCUAGUGUAGCGGUGAAAUGCGUAGAUAUUAGAAAGAACACCGGUGGCGAAAGCGCUCUACUGGACCAUUACUGACACUCAGAGGCGAAAGCUAGGGUAGCAAAAGGGAUUAGAUACCCCUGUAGUCCUAGCCGUAAACGAUGGAUACUAGAUGUUGUGCAUAACGUACAGUAUCGUAGCUAACGCGUUAAGUAUCCCGCCUGGGGAGUACGCUCGCAAGGGUGAAACUCAAAGGAAUUGACGGGGGCCCGCACAAGCGGUGGAGCAUGUGGUUUAAUUCGAUGCAACGCGAAGAACCUUACCAGGGCUUGACAUACUACAAAUUCUUUUGAGAAAAAGAAGUGCCUUCGGGAAUGUAGAUACAGGUGGUGCAUGGCUGUCGUCAGCUCGUGUCGUGAGAUGUUGGGUUAAGUCCCGCAACGAGCGCAACCCUUAUUUUUAGUUACUAAUUCGUUAGGUUCUCUAGAAAGACUGCCGGUGACAAACCGGAGGAAGGUGAGGAUGACGUCAAGUCAGCAUGCCCCUUAUGUCCUGGGCUACACACGUGCUACAAUGGUUAAGACAAAGAGUCGCGAGCUCGUGAGAGUCAGCUAAUCUCAUAAACUUAGCCUAAGUUCAGAUUGUAGGCUGCAA